CGCAUUUUCAACGUCUUGGGCUAGUAGGACUUAAUCCUGCUGAUACUAUGCGGUCGAAUUAUUUAACUUGAAGCACUUUUUAACAAUCCCAUGAGUUUCCAACGUACACUUUAACUCAGCCUGUCUCAAUCUGCCUCUUCACAGCAAGGUGUACCUGCUCCCGGAUAAAAUCAACCCUCUCAUCUGCCAACGCUGCCACUGUCUUGGUGUCUUGGGGAACGCGCACCCCUACAUUAGUGCUGCCCUCGGUCAUGGGUCUGGAAGGGAGGUUGGAUUUUAGUAGAGAAAGGCUACAGUAUUAAGUCUGCAUCGGUGACGGACCAAGGGAAGGUUAGAGUGAGAGUACUGUAGCUAGCUGAGAGAGAUAUGGAGAGAAGGACUGAACGACACUGCGACCCGUGGACAAAAGACAACAAGCACAAUCAAGACAAAAUUUAAAGCGUAGGCUGCCAUAGUUUACCUACCUUGAAAACGAAUGCUAACGCAAAAGUAAAUAACGUUUAACGCCCAGAUCAACCCAGUUCCAGCAACUGUGAAACACUCAAAGUUGAAUAUCCAUGUAUGUAGACCUAAGAGGAUAGUCGAUUAGAGCCUCUAAGUUCUGAUGACAGGCGAGGAGGUAAGCUGAUACCAGACCAGGAGAGCCUGGCACCUGAUACCACGGCAACCCAAGGGGACAGAUCUCAGUGCACUUUCCACCUGCCACAGCCGGAUGGAACAGCAGCCCCCAUGGGACCUGUUUUCAGACACUGACACACACUAUUCUCACCACAUGAGGGCAGUGUGGGAUAACGUUUAGCAGAAGUGUCUUAGCUGUAGUCCAAAGUGACCCGAACCAUGAAAUCCUAUUAGAUAUGAUACAGCAUUUAUGGAAAAACAAGGGAAAUUCUGACAUUUUUAUAACUGUGUUGCUUAAAAUACCAUGAUUCUGAUUAACCUUUUAAAGCAUACCCAUCUUGGCUGGGACUGUAAGACAUAGAUAAAAUAAAGAAAUCAUAUGAGAUGGGAAGAUUGUGGAUGAUAAUGCUAUCAGUGAUCAUUGGCAUUUGAGUCAGAAUCUACUGUUGUUUUUUAGAAACUAUAGAUAAAUGUAGCUCAUUGGUCCCAAGGCAAUGCAACGUUUUAAACCUCUGGUUAUCCACAGAAGCCCAGUGUUAAUCCACAGUAUUCCUGGAUAAAAUGAAACAUAUUUAUUAUGUGGACCUUUUCACUUGCUAUUGGACAUGUGGCCUUAUAAUUAAUGCCUCUAUUUUAUCAGUCUGUAGUCACUUAACUCAUUGAAGUUUAGGUAAAGAGAA
ensembl:lncRNA